AUGAAUAUUAUACCAUGUUCCAUUAAAACACUCAAGGGGUUAUACGAUAUAUCGGGUGUAGAAGUAGGCCAACACUUCUAUUGGCAAAUAGGAGGUUUCCAAAUUCAUGCCCAAGUACUCGUCACUUCUUGGGUCGUAAUUACUAUCUUGCUAGGUUCAGUUAUCAUAGUUGUUCAGAAUCCACAAACCAUCCCGACCGACGGUCAGAAUUUCUUAGAAUAUGUCCUUGAGUUUAUUUGAGACUUGAGCAAAACUCAGAUUGGAGAAGAAUAUGGUCACUGGGUUCCCUUUAUUGGAACUAUGUUCCUUUUUCUUUUUGUUUCGAAUUGGUCGGGUGCUCUUUUACCUGGUAAAAUUAUACAGUUACCCCAUGGUGAAUUAGCAGCGCCCACGAAUGAUAUAAAUACUACUGUUGCUUUAGCUUUACUCACGUCAGCGGCAUAUUUUUAUGCGGGUCUUAGCAAAAAAGGAUUGGAGUUGGUUUAAUACUACAUUUUUCUUUAUCUAGUUUGA
rnacentral:rRNA from 1 species